UACGGGGGGGGCAAGCGUUGUUCGGAAUCACCGGGCGUAAAGGGCGCGUAGGCGGCCGAUCAAGUCGGGGGUGAAAGCCUGUGGCUUAACCACAGAAUGGCCUUCGAUACUGUUUGGCUUGAGACCGGAAGAGGUUAGUGGAACUGCGAGUGUAGAGGUGAAAUUCGUAGAUAUUCGCAAGAACACCAGUGGCGAAGGCGGCUGACUGGUCCGGUUCUGACGCUGAGGCGCGAAAGCGUGGGGAGCAAACAGG
rnacentral:rRNA from 1 species